rnacentral:rRNA from 1 species
CCUACGGGUGGCAGCAGUGGGGAAUAUUGGGCAAUGGAGGCAACUCUGACCCAGCAACGCCGCGUGAAGGAUGAAGGUCUUCGGAUUGUAAAGUUCUGUGAUGGGGGAUGAACACAAUGACGGUACCCCACUAGCAAGCCACGGCUAGCUACGUGCCAGCAGCCGCGGUAAUACGGCGGGGGCAAGCGUUAGCCGGAAUGACUGGGCGUAAAGGGUGCGUAGGUGGUUUGGUAAGUUGGCGGUGUAAUUCCGGGGCUCAACCCCGGCGCUGCCGCCCAAACUGUUAGACUAGAGUGCAGGGGAGGUAAGUGGAAUUCCUAGUGUAGCGGUGGAAUGCGUAGAUAUUAGGAGGAACAUCAGGUGCGAAGGCGACUUACUGGACUGUAACUGACACUGAGGCACGAAAGCGUGGGGAGCAAACAGGAUUAGAUACCCCAGUAGUC